rnacentral:rRNA from 1 species
GACAGAGGUGCCGAGCGUUAGGCGGAAUCACUGGGCUUAAAGCGUGUGUAGGCGGGCGGGCAAGUACCUUGUGAAAUCCCACGGCUCAACUGGGAGGGUGCGCCGAAUACUGAAUGACUUCGAGUGCGGGAGAGGAAAGUGGAAUUCCUGGUGUAGCGGUGAAAUGCGUAGAUAUCAGGAGGAACACCGGUGGCGAAGGCGGGUCUCUGGGCCGUUACUGACGCUGAGGAGCGAAAGCGUGGGGAGCGAACAGG